CAUAAAGUAAACCUGUUGAACAUUAUAAGUGCCUUGGCUUCCUGUUGUGUUUUUAUAGCUUCUUGGUUUUAUAACUUGAUAUUUGCUACUCUGUUCCUAUGAACAAACCUAGUAGUUGGUAAGUACUCUGCAUUCCCUGUGAUCAUUUAAUUUCCACGCUGGCCCAGGUGAUGUUACCAGCACAGUCUCCUGAAGGGUUGGACUGUGACUCUUCCAGUAUAGAAUCACAAUCCCAGAAUGGCCUGGGUUGCAAAUGACCAUACUGCUCAUCCAGUUCCAACCCCCUGCUAUGUGCAGGGUCGCCAACCACCAGCCCAGGCUGCCCAGAGCCACAUCCAGCCUGGCCUUGAAUGCCUGCAGGGAUGGGGCAUCCACAGCCUCCUUGGGCAGUAUAGUUGAGAAGGAGCACUGUCCCAGAAGAUGAUUCACUGCGUAUAACAAAGUCCAGAGGAUCUGGUUACAAGGUGUAAGUACAGAAGCUCCUAACAAGUGCUUCCCUCCUACUCUUCACCGAACUCCACAGAAGGCCUUUGUGCACAGCUGCGCUAUGUCGGUAUCUCGGCAAUGGCCGCCAGAUCUCGCGAGAGGUGCUGACGGGACGUGGCAUUGCCGGGGCAACGGCGGGAGGUUUAAACGGCGGAACCGCGGACGUGGCGCUCAAUGACCACGGGCAGCUGCUUGGCAGCCGGCGCUGCUGGAACCGCGACGACGCAUUUCGAGGUACCGUGGGGAUUCGGGAGCCUCCUUCCUCCUCCCCGGGAAACCGGGGAGAGGAGAGUGAACGGCAGCGGCCGCCAUCAGCGGGAGAGAGGCUGACGUGGCGCCGGGGCAGCAGUGACCGCACCCACGGCCUUAGAAGGAGCCUCAGGGAGGAGCGGUUGGCGCGUGUGCGUCACGUUUCUUGGAGAGGUUGUGGAGUCUCAUCCAUGGAGAUACUCCAAUCCCAAGAGGACAGUCCUGAGCAGCCUACUGGAGGCCAUGACCAUCAUCUGCAGAGGUGCAGUGACUCUGCAAUUCUGUGAAACAUCCAUGGAGUAAAGUGAUGAGUCAGGAGUUUGUGGUCUUGAUUCUGCCUGGUGUUUGGGAGCUGCUUGGACAAACUGCCUGCUUGUAGAAGGAAUGGAGAGAUGGAGCUGCAAUACCUUGUGCCAUGCAAAUUCGGCCACUAGUUCUUGCUCAGGGCUAUGUCAACAGCCACCGUACAGUACUUGUUAUUCUUGUGCCACUUGGUCUUUGUGGUCCAAGGGGUGGUGAAGCUGCAGCACCGAAGAAAAACGUAUGGCUGUCACAGCUCUGACUUGACCUCAUCUCCGUGCUUUGGGGUGGCUGAUGUAACACAAUAGUAACGACACCUUGCUGAAGUCUUAUGAGACCCGUGGAAGUCCUUGGAGAGAAACAAAGAGCAGGACAGAAGGGAUUCCUGUGCACGAUGUUUGUCCCAACAGAGCAAAUGCUGGAAGUGCUCAAAUGUACAUCUAGAAACAAAGAAGCUGGAAUAGCUGAAAUGGUUCACAGACUCCAAUCCAAGUGUACAGGUGUCAUCCCCCCCCAAAAGGGAGCACCUGAGAAUCCCUGAAGCCUCUGACCAAUACAGAAAAUGUUAUGCUGAGGGACAGAGCCAGUAGUUUCAACCAUAGCAGCAGCAGAAGCAAAAGAGGGAACCAGAUUUUGACCGGUCAGAGAGGUGAAGCAUCACCACUGUACAAAUAGGGUCCUCCAGGUUUUUCAAAAGAAGGGGAGGAACAGUUGUAUGUCAGCAGACUGAAGAGGUAUUUGGCAGAGUUUGAAUCAGCUCUAAAGUUGAGCAGUAGCCAAGAGCCGUCCUUCCAGCCCCACACUGUGCAGACCUGGGAGAAAGGAGGAAGUGGUCCUCAUCCUAAGGAAUUUAAACUGUGAGAAAAGUGGUGAUGAGAUACAAGUCAUGCUAAUUUCAAGUGUUAAUGAAGCAGAAUCCAUCCCGAUGUGAAGCAACUCGAGGAUGCUCUGUGACACAGCCAUAAUGGGACCAGACAUUAUGGUCUAUUGUGUUAAUAAUCUGUGAAUUAAAGCAUCCCCCAGCAAGCUGUUAAUGUGAUGGAUUGUAUCAGUGAUGUGCUGUUAAAGGGUCCCCAGUCAACCUUGACACAACAGGCCAGAGCGGUUUGGAAGGCCUGGCAGCUCCAUCAGACAGUUGGGCCGUGCCUGGUGCACAAGAUAAACCUGAUAGGAGAUCACGGGGAGCUUCAGAGGAGGCUGAGGAUGCUCAUCACAUUGCCAGGGAUGGGCCUGAGAGACCAAAAUGCUCAGAAUCCUCUUGACGAAGAAAAGCAGAAGUCUCAGCAUUAAAAAUAGAUGCUUUUUAUCUUGCAUAGGAUACAAAAUCUCUUCUGAUAGGACAUUUUUUUAUGAUAUUUUAGCAGCUCCAAGCAGUCUUGGAUUAGGCCUGUAUCACAACAGUAAUACACAGGAGGCUAUGUUUUGUCUUGCUAUGACACCAGCUACUAUUGUUUUUGAUCUGCAGCCUCUGAAGAGGGAUGCUGCAUCUUCGACGGAAGGUGUUAUGAGUGCAGAUUAGUUAGACAAGUGCUGGAGUGAAUGCAUAAGCAGUGAUUUUGCAUAAUGAGGUAUGUGAAAUCCCAGUGGAGGUUGUUAAAACAGAUAGACAGCCUGUGGUAAACAACAAGGAAGGUAAGCUUUGAAAACAGAUGGCUUUGAAAACCUGGCAAAUGACUGUUCCAUACUUAAAAAUCAGUUUUGUUGGAGGAAAAUAUCUUCCUAAAACAAAAAACAAAAUAAAAAAAAAAAAAAAAGAAAAAGCUUAGCCUGCAUAUUUUCAUAAACCUGAACAUGUUAAUGUGCAUUCUGUGGGUAACCAUAUAUCAGCUGUCUUUCCUGCUGUACGUGUGCCUGCACGAUGGAGGCAAUGGAGCAAAUACCCUGAGAUGUUCUGUCAGACAUUGCCAUGCAACUCCUUCUCUCUGGCAGACGUGUUGCUCUUCAUUAUCACUUUGUCAAUCUGUAACCCUUAGAUACCCAAGGGCAGUAUGGACACAACUUAAAGAUGGAGCAGGUGCUCUGAUGCCUUCUUGAGAAGGAUCACAAACGCUUCCAAGGGAUGUCUCAGUCCCCAUCUUCUGCUGCAGAAUAAGGUCGUUACAAAUGUCUGCUGGAGAGAUAGGAAGUUGUGGAGCAAAUGAGAAGGGACAGCACUGUCCUGUCAUUAACAGGUUCAGAAGAAGUCGGAUAUCCCAGCAAGAACACAGAAUCACAAGAGUUGGAAGGAACCUCAAGAGACCAUUGAAUCCAACUCCUCUGCUAAGGUCUGACCAACAGAAGGAGUGGCUGCAGUGCAUGCUGUGCCUUUAGUGCACUCCUCAACACGGCACCCAGAAAAUCAAAGUGUGGAAACUGACAGAAUAACCAUUGUGUCGCCCUUUAGCAACUAUCUGCUAAAACAUGGAGGUCGUUCUAUGAAGGGCAGCGUGCUGGAAUGCAAACAAGAAUGUGAAGUGUUUUGUAUGAAUGUGGAUUCUUCCAUUCCAAUACUAACUGGCUGUCAGCAGUUCUCUUUGAAGCUGGAGCACACUGGAGCUCAACCACUGCACAAGGAUUAGAGACUCAUACGUUCUAAGGCAUUAGUAAAAAUAUAUUCCAGGUGGAUUCUGUCUCUUAA
ensembl:lncRNA